rnacentral:rRNA from 1 species
GACGAACGCUGGCGGCGUGCCUAAUACAUGCAAGUAGAACGCUGAAGGAGGAGCUUGCUUCUCUGGAUGAGUUGCGAACGGGUGAGUAACGCGUAGGUAACCUGCCUGGUAGCGGGGGAUAACUAUUGGAAACGAUAGCUAAUACCGCAUAAGAGUAGAUGUUGCAUGACAUUUGCUUAAAAGGUGCAAUUGCAUCACUACCAGAUGGACCUGCGUUGUAUUAGCUAGUUGGUGGGGUAACGGCUCACCAAGGCGACGAUACAUAGCCGACCUGAGAGGGUGAUCGGCCACACUGGGACUGAGACACGGCCCAGACUCCUACGGGAGGCAGCAGUAGGGAAUCUUCGGCAAUGGACGGAAGUCUGACCGAGCAACGCCGCGUGAGUGAAGAAGGUUUUCGGAUCGUAAAGCUCUGUUGUAAGAGAAGAACGAGUGUGAGAGUGGAAAGUUCACACUGUGACGGUAUCUUACCAGAAAGGGACGGCUAACUACGUGCCAGCAGCCGCGGUAAUACGUAGGUCCCGAGCGUUGUCCGGAUUUAUUGGGCGUAAAGCGAGCGCAGGCGGUUAGAUAAGUCUGAAGUUAAAGGCUGUGGCUUAACCAUAGUACGCUUUGGAAACUGUUUAACUUGAGUGCAAGAGGGGAGAGUGGAAUUCCAUGUGUAGCGGUGAAAUGCGUAGAUAUAUGGAGGAACACCGGUGGCGAAAGCGGCUCUCUGGCUUGUAACUGACGCUGAGGCUCGAAAGCGUGUGGAGCAAACAGG